ACUAGUCAUGGAAGAUCUAUGAUUACAUUUAAAAAAGAACGUACUGAUAGGAAUAAUUCUACCAUCAGUAGAGCUGAACAAGAAGAGAAAUUGGAAGUCAUAUACUCUGAGCUGGUGAACCUACCCAUUAAGAAUACACGUCAUCCUCGUGCAGAUGGUUGCAACAUGCUGUAUGCUGCAGUUACCACAAGAAACCACAAGGUAUAACAGAUGUUCACUUCCAUCAUCAAACUUAAGACAUUCCUGAUGCCACAAUGUCUACCACUCCACGUGUCUACUUGCAAAGCCACAUUUGAGAUUGUGAAUAUUGGUCAUUAUUGGUCAUUUUAAUACACAGUAAACAAGAGUACUCCUGUUCAGUUUGGCUCAUGUUUUUAAACAUUAAUAUAUCUAAAGUAAAAAUAAAAAAAUCAACGACUGUAAAAUAUGCACUUUCAAAUAACAAUAUAUGUUUAUUGGUAAUCUAUCAGCAUAGAUAUUUGCAUUUUCUCUCUUUCAAGAAUGUAUGUUUGCAAUUCCUGUCUUGCUGCUGCUGGACACAAAUGCAAGCCACUGGUUUCAUAUCUCCUCUCUCUAAUGCACAACAAUGCUUUUGACUGCAAAGGUGCCCUUUAUUCCCUAAGCAGGCAGUUUCCAUUUUUUCCAUGCUAAAGAUUUUUUAUGUUUAAGUCUUCUAUUUUGUGAACCAGUUCCUCUGCAUUAAAACUUUAAGCUUAAUUGGACUUUGUGUCGAGACUUAAGUUUAGAGUUUUGUCAGAAAAAUUUAGUUUCAUCGCCAUUGCUGUAGCUAUAUUUACAA